GUUAGCAGAGCUGGCUUGGCAGGAGUACAUCGUCGUGCUGCAGUGGGGCCCACGAGGGACAGAGAGAGAGGGAUGCUCCACCCAGGAUUGGCUGCUGCCCGGGGUCAGGACGUGAGGCUUACGGACUACAAUGAGUUACGUUUUCAAACCGGGCCUCAUGCAGAUGGCAUGCCCACGUUCAACCCUCUAUGGUAUUUUGCUUCAUUUAAGGAAAUUAUUUAUCAAGCCAUAGCCAGACUGUUGUGGGUAUGUCUCUCUGUAAGUCUCAUUUUGAAAGUCACUAGUUAUUAGAGAAGUACAAAUUGUAAUCACAAUGGAUUAUCCUCUCCAUUUUCUAAACUGGCUAAAACUAUACCUUGUCAAAGGAAAUGAAGACAGAAUGUGGAGCCAUUAGAACCUGAAUGCCUGGCUGAUGGGAGUGUUAAAUGGCAGUGCAUCUUUGUAAAACAUUUGGCACCUUCUUAAAAAUAAAUAAAUGUAUCUAGGCUGCAAGCCAGGCAUCCCAUUUGUCAGCUGGAAACAAAAGUUUAAGUCCACACAAAGGAUACCAUGCCACUCUCCACAGCAGCUUUAUUUGUAGUACUCAAAAAAUGGCAACAAACAAAAGUUCAUUAGUUGGUAAACAACCUGUGCUCCCUCUCAUCUGGGGCUCCUGCAGUACAAAGCCGAGUCUCAAAUCAAUUACAUGCAGCCAAAAUGAAUGAUUAGGAAAACCACAUAAGCACUGUCAUAUGUAUAACACUUUAGAAAACUCAAAUUUGUAUACAGUGAUCAGAAGCUUAUCAGGAUUGCCUAGGAACCGUGUGUGUGUGUGUGUGUGUGUGUGUGUGUGUGUGUUGAGGGGGUCAAGGAAAAUCUCGGAAAUGACAGCUAUGUUAACUGUCUUGAUUAUUGUGGUCAUUUCACAGAUAUGUACCUGGGUCAAAUUCAUUAGAUUAUAAACUUUACUGCAUCUCAAUUAUAAAUUAACGUAGCUAUAAAAUUCUUAUUUUGAAUGUACGAAGGUAAAUUUUGAUGCUUUCUUUUUGUAGUCUUUCUAGAACAGUCUUAAUCUCCAUGUAAAUGAAACUGUCAUGCAGGUUUCAGAGAAUAUGUCACAUUCUAAAGCAAAGCAUAGUAAUAGUUUCUGAAAAUUAUUACCCAGUUGCAAGCUUAUAUUCGUGUGUAACCCUAACCUUUACUUUGCCUUUUAUCUCAGAUUCCAGUGCUUCUUCUCAAGUGGUCAGCUAAGCUGCGCCAUACAGAACUAUCAGUCUUCCAGACACACUAGCCUGUUACCAUGAGACCAGUUGCAAAGGCUCUAGCAUGGGCUCCUCUCCCUGCCCAGAGCCCAGCUCCCUUUGCCUGGCCUAAGUGCAGAGGCAAAAGAUGAGUGUGUAGCAGUGUGCCCAGCAGAGAGCCAAGGGAGAGGCCAGGCACUCCUCACCUUUUAGCAGCCUGAGCAGAUGCCUUCCAACAUGCCCAGACAGAACCCUGGCAACUGCCCAGAGCCUGGGAGUGAAGGCUGAGGUGGCCAGUGGGGAGCUCCUUUGUGAAGCCGCUGGCGCCUGGUACUGUGAGCACUGGUCGGUCGUUGGGUUGGACUGAGGGGAGAAGUUGCUGGGCCCUCUGGGCUUAGGCUGAGGGCUCAGCCUCCUCCUUGGCUGUACACCAGCGAUGCUGGCCCUUUUCACUUUCUCAUAGGAACUGGAGCUCUGACCCUCAGGUCUGCUACUCUGCAGAAGCAAAGUUCUAGGGAAACUCUGGUGUCUUCCAUGUCAUUUCCAGACACCCACUUUUCCUCAUUCCAUCCACUCAUUCUCCCUGUACCCCGAUCACAGCGGAAGGAAGGAGCAUCUGGCUCCAUUGCUUACAUCAAGAUGAGAUUGUUUUCCAUCUAGACAAAAAGAGAUGGAGCAGAGCUUGCCCACCCAUGCUCGCCCAGUGGGAACAAAGCUGCAUGUGACCCGCAGUAUUUAUUAUUUUUAAAAAUUAAAGUCCAGAUGUUUGGCAAGUCUGUAUUUGUAGAGGGAUGAGAGAGAUGCUUGAAAGCUGAAAUCUUUGCAAACAAAAAGGCAAACGAUUCUGCGUUCUUUGAUUUCACUUGCCUGAAAGUCACACACUGCUAAUUCGCAGGCUUGCCAUAAUUCAUGGACACAGGAUCUCCCUGUCCCUGGAAGACUUGUACAGCUCAUUAAACUUUGCUGUUUGUUUUGAUUUUAGAUACUCAACAAUAACUGUAAAAUUGAAUGUUGAUGUUGGUGAACUGUUUCAUCCUCAUUAAGAUGUGCUUAGACGACUCCAGCAUUAAAAACAGCACCAAAUAAGCUUGAUUUACAAAGAAUCUUUAAAUGGAGACUGUGUGUGGUAUUUUAAAAAACCAAACCCUCAGUUAGGUGUAUAACGGAGCUCCUUUCCAGUAGGAGUAAAUUUAUCCUCCCCAAUU
rnacentral:lncRNA from 1 species